AGUGGGUUAGUUCAGUGGUUAGAGCUUAGGCCUUGUGACCGGAAGGUCCUGGGUUCGAAUCUCGCUAGAGGCAGGA
rnacentral:tRNA from 1 species